rnacentral:rRNA from 1 species
UGAGGAAUAUUGGUCAAUGGGCGAGAGCCUGAACCAGCCAAGUCGCGUGAGGGAAGACGGUCCUACGGAUUGUAAACCUCUUUUGUCGGGGAGUAAUAGGCGGGACGUGUCCUGCUGUGAGAGUACCCGAAGAAAAAGCAUCGGCUAACUCCGUGCCAGCAGCCGCGGUAAUACGGAGGAUGCGAGCGUUAUCCGGAUUUAUUGGGUUUAAAGGGUGCGUAGGUGGUCUUUUAAGUCAGCGGUGAAAGUUUGUGGCUCAACCAUAAAAAUUGCCAUUGAAACUGGGAGACUUGAGUAUGUUUGAGGUAGGCGGAAUGCGUGGUGUAGCGGUGAAAUGCAUAGAUAUCACGCAGAACUCCGAUUGCGAAGGCAGCUUGCCAAGCCAUAACUGACACUGAAGCACGAAAGCGUGGGUAUCAAACAGGAUUAGAUACCCUGGUAGU